UAACACGUAGGGGGCAAGCGUUGUCCGGAUUUAUUGGGCGUAAAGAGCUCGUAGGUGGCUCGGUAAGUCGGGUGUUAAACCCCCAGGCUCAACCUGGGGACGCCACUCGAUACUGCUGUGGCUUGAGUCCGGUAGGGGAGCGUGGAAUUCCUGGUGUAGCGGUGAAAUGCGCAGAUAUCAGGAGGAACACCAGCGGCGAAGGCGGCGCUCUGGGCCGGUACUGACACUGAGGAGCGAAAGCGUGGGUAGCAAACAGGAUUAGAUACCCUGGUAGUCCACGCCGUAAACGUUGGGCACUAGGUGUUGGUGGUAUCAACCCCGCCAGUGCCGAAGCUAACGCAUUAAGUGUCCCGCCUGGGGAGUACGGCCGCAAGGCUA
rnacentral:rRNA from 1 species